CUCGGGCCUCACCUCACCCGAGCCCUCGGGCGCCUAUUUAAACCCUUGGAUAGAGCUGCAACAACAUUUCUAAUGACAAUGAAUUAGGACCUUCAAUUGAUGGUGAAUUUCUAAGACCAAAGGCUCGAGUGACGUAAACUUUCUUUCUGCUCACUAGGGUAAGAUGAUCUUCUUGAGAACCUAAAUUGGAAGGAGCUCUGUGCACUGAACCACACUAUUAGAAGAUGAACCUUAGUAUCAUGAUAAGGUUGUUUCUUUGCAAUUUAGAUUUAUAUUGAUCCUCCACAGUCCCUGUAUUAGCCGGAGCCUUACGUAUUGGGUUGCACAUUUCAUUUUUUUUAUGCACUUAAGCUUCAUCUGACAUAGUUAUGGAUCCUUCGUGAUUGCCCAUGAUGGACAGUGAUCAUAAGGGACUACCUUUAAUUUGCUGAUUCCAUAUUAUCAGGUUCUAGAUAUGAAGGUGGG
rnacentral:lncRNA from 1 species